UACCAGCACCCCGAGUGGUCGGGACGAUUAUUGGGCCUAAAGCAUCCGUAGCCGGUCCUGCAAGUCCUCCGUUAAAUCCACCCGCUCAACGGUUGGGCCGCGGGGGAUACUACAGGGCUAGGAGGCGGGAGAGGCAAGCGGUACUCGAUGGGUAGGGGUAAAAUCCACUGAUCCAUUGAAGACCACCAGUGGCGAAGGCGGCUUGCCAGAACGCGCUCGACGGUGAGGGAUGAAAGCUGGGGGGAGCAAACCGG
rnacentral:rRNA from 1 species